rfam:Callithrix jacchus chromosome 3, whole genome shotgun sequence
GCCGGGCAGUGGAGACACACCUGUAGUCUUAGCUACUCAAGAGGCUGAGGCAGGAGGAUCCCUUGAGCCCAGGAGUUCUGGGCUGUGGUGUGCUAUAUCCAUAAGGUGUCUGUACUAAGUUCAGCAUCAUUGGAGGGGGGGACCACCAGGAUAGCUAACGAGGAGUGAACCAGCCUCAGUCAGAAAUAGAACAGGUCAAAACUGCUAUCAGUAGUGGGAUCACAUCUGUGAAUCACCAGUGCUCUCCAGUCCAGGCAGCAUAGUGAGGUGACUCCC